rnacentral:lncRNA from 1 species
AACUAGAAGCAUCCAGACCUGACUUCUUCAACCAGGAGUACCAGACCCGUGACGUGGACUGUGUCCUUACAACAGGAGAAGUCUUCAGACUGCUGGAGGAAGAAGGAGUCUCCCUCUCAGAGCUGGAGCCUGUGCCCCUGGAUGGCUUGUGAGUAGGUGGUGGGGACUGAGAAACUUUAUUUGGGAUCAGAUGCUGCCUGUGGGGUGGGGCAGUGUCUUGUCCCCUCCUUUCUACCCAGGCUGCCUUCUGGCCGACUCCAGACCUCCCCAGAGCCUGACUGGGGUCCAGGAGUGGUUGAGUUUACAGUGUCAGAGCAAAGCCUGCUCUUGAAGCCACCCGAGCUUCCCAGGGCCACCAUAAUGUCUGACUACCAGAGACCUCCGCACUGACCUGCCCCUCUCCCAGAACCAGGAGUGUGUCUGCUGAGGAGCCCACCAGCCAUCGGGGCGGAGGCUCAGGAGGGUACCUGGAGCACGUGUUCCGGCACGCAGCCCAAGAGCUGUUUGGAAUCCAUGUGGCUGACGUCACCUACCAACCCAUGAGGAACAAGGACUUCCAGGAAGUGACACUGGAGAGGGAAGGCCAGGUGCUGUUGCGCUUUGCUGUGGCCUAUGGCUUCCGCAACAUCCAGAACCUCGUGCAGAAGUUAAAACGAGGCCGCUGUCCCUACCAUUACGUGGAAGUAAUGGCCUGCCCUUCAG